CCUACGGGAGGCAGCAGUGAGGAAUAUUGGUCAAUGGCCGAGAGGCUGAACCAGCCAAGUCGCGUGAGGGAUGACGGCCCUACGGUUUGUAAACCUCUUUUGUCGGGGAGCCAAGAGAGUCACGUGUGGCUCAUUGAGAGUCCCCGAAGAAAAAGCAUCGCCUAACUCCGUGCCAUCAGCCGCGGUAAUACGGAGGAUGCGAGAGUUAUCCGGAUUUAUUGGGUUUAAGGGGUGCGCAGGGGGAGGUGCAAGUCAGUGGUAAACUUGCGGGGCGCACCCCCGUACUGCCGUUGAAACUGCAUCACUUGAGUGCGCGAGAAGUAUGCGGAAGGCGUGGUGUAGCGGUGAAAUGCAUAGAUAUCACGCAGAACUCCGAUUGCGAAGGCAGCCUGCCAAGCCAUGACUGACGCUGAUGCACGAAAGCGUGGGGAUCAAACAGGAUUAGAUACCCGAGUAGUC
rnacentral:rRNA from 1 species